UACGUAGGGUGCGAGCGUUGUCCGGAAUUAUUGGGCGUAAAGGGCUCGUAGGCGGUUUGUCGCGUCGGGAGUGAAAACCAGGUGCUUAACACCUGGCUUGCUUUCGAUACGGGCAGACUAGAGGUAUUCAGGGGAGAACGGAAUUCCUGGUGUAGCGGUGAAAUGCGCAGAUAUCAGGAGGAACACCGGUGGCGAAGGCGGUUCUCUGGGCAGUAACUGACGCUGAGGAGCGAAAGCGUGGGGAGCGAACAGG
rnacentral:rRNA from 1 species